rnacentral:misc_RNA from 1 species
GAUGAAGAACGUAGCGAAAUGCGAUAAGUAAUGUGAAUUGCAGAAUUCAGUGAAUCAUCGAAUCUUUGAACGCACAUUGCGCCCCUUGGUAUUCCGAGGGGCAUGCCUAUUCGAGCGUCAUUAUCACCCCUCAAGCCUAGCUUGGUGUUGAGACCUGCUGUCAAGGCAGUCCCUAAAAUCAGUGGCAGUGCUAUCAGGCUCUAAGCGUAGUAAAUUCAUCGCUAUAGACACCUGGUGGCCACUCGCCAGAACCCCCCCAUUUUUUAAUGAUUGACCUCGGAUUAGGUAGGGAUACCCGCUGAACUUAAGCAUAUCAAUAAGCGGAGGA